rnacentral:snRNA from 1 species
AUACUUACCUGGUAGGGGAGUCACCAUGGUCAGGCAGGUGGUUUUCCCAGGGCGAGGCUCAUACUCUGCACUAUUUUUUUUUUUAAGGUCAUGGAGCAGAUCCUCCUAGAAGAUAUUUUCAAAACACACAGAAGAC